rnacentral:rRNA from 1 species
ACGGGUGAGUAAUAUAUCGGAACGUGCCCAAUCGUGGGGGAUAACGUAGAGAAAUUUACGCUAAUACCGCAUACGAUCUAAGGAUGAAAGCGGGGGAUCGCAAGACCUCGCGCGAUUGGAGCGGCUGAUAUCAGAUUAGGUUGUUGAUGAGGUAAAAGCUCACCAAGCCGACGAUCUGUAGCUGGUUUGAGAGAACGACCAGCCACACUGGGACUGAGACACGGCCCAGACUCCUACGGGAGGCAGCAGUGGGGAAUUUUGGACAAUGGGCGAAAGCCUGAUCCAGCAAUGCCGCGUGCAGGAAGAAGGCCUUCGGGUUGUAAACUGCUUUUGUACGGAACGAAACGGCUCUUUCUAAUAAAGAGGGCUAAUGACGGUACCGUAAGAAUAAGCACCGGCUAACUACGUGCCAGCAGCCGCGGUAAUACGUAGGGUGCGAGCGUUAAUCGGAAUUACUGGGCGUAAAGCGUGCGCAGGCGGUUAUGUAAGACAGUUGUGAAAUCCCCGGGCUCAACCUGGGAAUUGCAUCUGUGACUGCAUAGCUAGAGUACGGUAGAGGGGGAUGGAAUUCCGCGUGUAGCAGUGAA